UACGAAGGGUGCAAGCGUUACUCGGAAUUACUGGGCGUAAAGCGUGCGUAGGUGGUUCGUUAAGUCUGAUGUGAAAGCCCUGGGCUCAACCUGGAAAUGGCAUUGGAUACUGGCGACCUAGAGUGCGGUAGAGGGGUGUGGAAUUCCCGGUGUAGCAGUGAAAUGCGUAGAUAUCAGGAGGAACACCAAUGGCGAAGGCAGCUCGCUGGGACGUGACUGACGCUGAGGCGCGACAGCGUGGGGAGCAAACAGG
rnacentral:rRNA from 1 species